rnacentral:tRNA from 1 species
GGGCCCAUAGCUCAAUUGGUAGAGCGCCGGAUUGAUACUCUGGAGGUUGCGGGUUCAAUCCCCGCUGGGUAUU